CAUUAUUGAUAAUUGAUCUUUAUGGUUGAAAAUUGACCAAAUGAGUUGGACCACAUAAUACCCGGCAGGUGUUUACAGUAAGCAUUUCCUCAUCAUCAUCAUCAUCUCAAUUCUCCGCUAAACAGCUUUUCUUUUUUUGGGUAUUAUAAUCCAAGGAUAUGAAAUAAAUGGAUUGAAGAGAUUGCAAUUUGGCUGCCUUCAUCAACUCAUUCCCAAUGCAGUAAUGUGGACCAUAUCAGUAAAUCUGUCAUGACUAAUUACUACAUGCUUUUUACAAAGAAGUUGCUUUGCCUUUGAGUUUGCUCAAUUAUCCAUCAAUCUAAAUUUUUCACAGAUUGAAAUGAAAUGGGACCUCUUAAAAAUGGUUCGUAGGUCUUCUUUUUCAUGAUCAGUGUUUUUCAAAUAAAGACUAAACAAACCCACUAAGCCAAGAGAGU
rnacentral:lncRNA from 1 species